rnacentral:lncRNA from 1 species
GAUGACAAAAGAUGUUAUAAAUGAAAACAUUUGUUGAGCUUGGCGGGUUUUCUUUAUCCAUUCCAUAUGCACCACUAUAGAAACUUCUAAUUGGUCACGGCAAUUGGAUGCUGCAACGGUAAGAAUACUUAUGAGCAUAAAGUUGUAACUAAAGGAAUGCAUUUCCAGGAAUAUAUCACUUCUACAACCAUGUCUGCAAAAGAUCUCAACUAGCAUAAAGUCUUCAA